AAUUCAACUGUAAAAUUAAUGCAACAUGUUAGCUUUAAUUCAUGUACGACACGUGUUGCCACCCAAUGGAGGACUUGUUUAUGUUCGUGGCAGUUGACAGUGACAGAAGGGGUUAUUAACCAUUCAGCCCAUACCCCAUUUGGGGCAACUCCUAACCGGCCACGUGAAUGCAGAAAGAACCUUGAAACUGUUUAUUAACACAGUCAAGAAAUUUGCACAUUCGAUCCAAAUGUUGUUGGACAUGCGAAAAGCAGAAAAACUACGAAAUCGCUAUUGAUUGCAGGGAAAAAAAUGGAAAAAGGCGAAGAAGGUUGCAAAACUGGCUCCAUUUGCAAGGUUGUGUGUGCUAUUGGGGAGUUCUGUCCCCUUCUGCAUUCCAAAAUUAAUGUAAGCACUUACUGUCCCUAUAUGGCACACGCUCCAGCACUAAGGUCACCAAAUUGGAUUCGUUUAGUUUCAGGGACAUCACAAGGGCCUUUGUAUACUCCAGCCUCUUUAGUGACUCAUGCACCGCCUUCGGUGUCACUUCCAGUGACAAAUCGAACGGAUCGAAGACAACGCCUGCAAUCGAUUAACAAUUCAAUAAGCUUCUUCUAUUAUAUUAAAUUUAACUUAUGCAUCUUCAACUUACCCUUAUCGAGUGCAUAGAUGCAAAGGCCUUCGGUGCCAGCUGCAGCAAAUGCCUGACCAGUGGGUGAAAAGCGGACAGAAAACACUCUCACCUCGGGCUGAAAGCGUCGAGCGGACAUGUCUCCCUUACGUACGCCCGGCAAGCGUAUAGCCACAUUGCCUCCCUCCAGCUGCUCACGUUCCUCCACCAAUGCCAUGUUGCCAAAUUCGCUCAGAUGCUUGCGGCUGAUAAAGUCCUGCAAAUGAAUCAAUUGGAAAUCACAACUCAAAUCUCUAAUUUCCGUUGAAUUUAACUCACAUUUAGACCGUCGAGACUGAAGUUCUGUGUUAUCUGGAACUUCUUUAGCAGGAUCGCUUCACGAACAUGGUAGAUGCAAAUGUUUGCUGAUUUGCCCGCUGCCAAAAGGCAUUCACCGUCCGCCGAAUACUCUAUCGUCGAGAAAUAGCUAAGAAAAGAGCAAACAUUAAUUAAAGUUUAGAAUGAGGAUGAUGCGAAGAUCACUUACUUUGAUUGCGUAUUCGUCUUGGCAGUCACAACAUCAGUCUCCAAGCGACCGCCUCCCAAAUCAUCACGACCCUCAAUUGUGGUCACUUGCGUUGCCGAUUUCACAUCGAAGACGGUUAUGGUGCCUGAAAGCGUAGACACUGCGACCUGGAAGCAUGUUAUGCUUUAAAGAUUUAUCUUUAUAUAAAAGACCUUUCAUUACCUCUUCUCCACUCGGACUAAAUGUUACAGAAGUCACAUCAGAAAGGGCAUCGAUUGUCUCAUGCUCACUAUUACUUUCCAGGCAAUUCCAAAUCUUUACCGUUUUGUCCCAUGAUCCAGAAAUGAGCGUAGAUGACGUU